rnacentral:rRNA from 1 species
UACAGGGGGUGCAAACGUUGCUCGGAAUUACUGGGCGUAAAGCGCGCGUAGGCGGGUCGUUAAGUCGGGGGUGAAAUCCUGGAGCUCAACUCCAGAACUGCCUUCGAUACUGGCGAUCUUGAGUCCGGGAGAGGUGAGUGGAACUCCGAGUGUAGAGGUGAAAUUCGUAGAUAUUCGGAAGAACACCAGUGGCGAAGGCGGCUCACUGGCCCGGUACUGACGCUGAGGUGCGAAAGCGUGGGGAGCAAACAGG